rnacentral:pre_miRNA from 1 species
AUCACAUAGGAAUCUUGCUAAAAUGCAGAUUCUGACUCAGUGGUUCUGGGGCAGGGCCUGAAACUCUGCAUUUGUGACAAGCUCCCAGGUAAUGCUGA